rnacentral:rRNA from 1 species
AUGCCGCGUGUGUGAAGAAGGCCUUCGGGUUGUAAAGCACUUUCAGUCGUGAGGAAGGUGGUGUAGUUAAUAGCUGCAUUAUUUGACGUUAGCGACAGAAGAAGCACCGGCUAACUCCGUGCCAGCAGCCGCGGUAAUACGGAGGGUGCGAGCGUUAAUCGGAAUUACUGGGCGUAAAGCGCAUGCAGGUGGUUUGUUAAGUCAGAUGUGAAAGCCCGGGGCUCAACCUCGGAAUAGCAUUUGAAACUGGCAGACUAGAGUACUGUAGAGGGGGGUAGAAUUUCAGGUGUAGCGGUGAAAUGCGUAGAGAUCUGAAGGAAUACCGGUGGCGAAGGCGGCCCCCUGGACAGAUACUGACACUCAGAUGCGAAAGCGUGGGGAGCAAACAGGAUUAGAUACCCUGGUAGUCCACGCCGUAAACGAUGUCUACUUGGAGGUUGUGGCCUUGAGCCGUGGCUUUCGGAGCUAACGCGUUAAGUAGACCGCCUGGGGAGUACGGUCGCAAGAUUAAAACUCAAAUGAAUUGACGGGGGCCCGCACAAGCGGUGGAGCAUGUGGUUUAAUUCGAUGCAACGCGAAGAACCUUACCUACUCUUGACAUCCAGAGAACUUUCCAGAGAUGGAUUGGUGCCUUCGGGAACUCUGAGACAGGUGCUGCAUGGCUGUCGUCAGCUCGUGUUGUGAAAUGUUGGGUUAAGUCCCGCAACGAGCGCAACCCUUAUCCUUGUUUGCCAGCGAGUAAUGUCGGGAACUCCAGGGAGACUGCCGGUGAUAAACCGGAGGAAGGUGGGGACGACGUCAAGUCAUCAUGGCCCUUACGAGUAGGGCUACACACGUGCUACAAUGGCGCAUACAGAGGGCAGCAAGCUAGCGAUAGUGAGCGAAUCCCAAAAAGUGCGUCGUAGUCCGGAUUGGAGUCUGCAACUCGACUCCAUGAAGUCGGAAUCGCUAGUAAUCGUGGAUCAGAAUGCCACGGUGAAUACGUUCCCGGGCCUUGACACACCGCCCGUCACACCAUGGGAGUGGGCUGCAAAAGAAGUAGGUAGUUUAACCUUCGGGAGGACGCUUACCAC